rnacentral:tRNA from 1 species
GGGCGUGUGGUCUAGUGGUAUGAUACCCGCUUUGGGAUCUAGUUUUCUCAGAAAAUGCGGGUGGCCCGGGGUUCAAUUCCCCGCUCGCCCC